rnacentral:lncRNA from 1 species
AUGACUUCAGCUUCAGGCUGUGCAGGUGUGACCCUCAGGCCUCGAGUAUGUGGAGAUCGCUGCUGUGCUGGAUGGACGCUGUCGCCUAAAACCAGGGGAUGCACCAAACCCAGGUGUUCUCCUCCCUGCCGUAACGGGGCCCUGUGUCGACGGUUCAACAGGUGCGUGUGCAGACGAGGUUUCCAUGGUUACCGCUGUCAGCUGCCCAUGGCAACUCUGUCUGCACCAGGACACCUGCUGACAUCCAUCAAUCCGACAGAGUUCCCGGUCCACCUCAGACCCCUCCGGGUCCCACCACAACCAGCUCUGAGCCCCCAGAGAAGCACCAAACCUGCUGCCAGCUCACCUCCACCCGAACCUCCACCUGAACCUUCAGACCCGAACCCGACUUCCGCUCAGGCUGAUGGAGAGAAGGACACAAAGGUCCCUGACUCUGGUCCUGCCAAGGCUGCAGGCUUUGGAGGUCAAACUGAAGGGAAUAACGGAGCUGACAGUGGAGGAGGUGUUUCCAAGCGGUUUCUGACUCGAGAGGAGAACCAAGCUUCCCCAAAAAGUCCCACUGUAAUCUGGCUAGAUCCAGAUCCUGAACAAGGGCUGACAGCCUCCAAUCAGAGUUCUGAUUCUGGAUCGGAAGCAGAGGAGAGGAGAUCAGGCACUUUUGAAACGCCUCCACCCAAGUUUGAUCCAGGACAGGACGAAGAGGAUCAGAAUGAGGGGAAAGCAAGGAUAGAGGAGAAGGAAAGGAGGACAGAAGAGAGGAAGGAGAAAAAGAUGGUGGGAGCAAAAAAGCUGAGGUAACAAAAGACUCAUCUUCUUUAUCUUCUCAUCUCCUCUUUUUCUUUCCUAACCUCCUUGUUUCCACUCCUCUGUCCUGGGUCACAAAAAUAAAAUCCCUCCUGAGUUUUUCUGGUCCACUCUUCCUCGACCUUGAUGGGAAACUUUAACUCUGUAACUCUCUUUAUUUAAGCUCAGAGCGUGUUUAAAGUCAAGGUGGGGGACAGUCUAACCUCCUCUCCUUUCACAAAGGAUCCUCCAGUGUCUCCUUUGCUAAAGGAGAUGAUGAAGGAUGCACUGAGGCACCUUUCCUUAGUAUCUGGAGAGUUUAACCAGCUGUUUUGUAGCUCCUCUUUGUCCUUCUCUCUCCUGCUUUUUCUUCUUCCUUAUCAUCACUGCACAGUCAGUGCCGUUCUCUGUUCAGACACCAGGUGGAGCUCUUUAUUUGAUUAUAGACGCUGUACUGUGCACUGUAUUUUGUACAAAGAUCAGGCACUACUUCCCGAAGCUGCUGGAGGCUUUAAAAGUUUUUAAAUGUUCCAGAAUUAGCUGGGAAAACUUCUCCAUCCAUCCUGAUCUUUGUUCCACGAAUCCGUCACCUCAGAUCCAGAUGAGGAGAUGGGAAGAAAGACCUGAGCUUUCACUUCUCCGGAGAAUCUGACCUCUGCUGAAACCCAGAUUCACAAACUGAAAGUCAGCACGACCCUCGAGUCAUAGGUCAGGUGGUGGAGGUCAAAGGUUAGAGCCAAGGUCCCUACAGGCUGUGGGAGGGUGGAGGAAUGUUUAAUGUUCUGUCUGCUGCAGAUUAAACAGAAGUUUUUUCACAGUAAAGACCUUUUUCAUCACAACAACAAGAGGGUUGCUAAGGAUGCCUCUGAGUUUGUGUAGAUUUUGGAUAAACACCGAACCCCUCUGAUCUGGGACAGAGUGUCAGCAAUUCAUCUCUUUCCUUCUCUGGUAUGAAAUCAUGGCUUUGGGUGUCUGCUGAUAAUUUUGGUAUGACUAAACAAGGAUUUAAUAGUUCAUCAACACUUAUUUAUCAACAAAAACCUAAAGUUUUUUUUUCUAUCUGCAUAUCAAACCUGCAUUAAGAUCAGGUCGGUGUUCGGUGUUGUUUCGGUGUCUUGAGCUUACAUCAUCCUGAGGACGGCUUGAGAAACUUCGUCUUGAUGAGGAAGGUUUUUACCAACACCUUACCUUCAGGUGUCUGUUGUUACCUUUGUACUGAUGCAGUGGGAAAUGAAUGAGUUGUUAAAAAACCAUCCAGCAUUUCUGAUGAAGUAAACUUAGAACAACAUGGACUCAGACGGGACAGAUCUGGUUGCUGAUAUCUGAUCCAGGAUUUUGAGUGAGGAUCGGAUUGAUACUGUCGACAUCGUGUCGAUGCAAAUUUAAGACUUUCUCUAAAAUAUUUUUUUCAGUGACAGGAAGCGAGGAUGUGCCCCCAAUUACUGAAGUUAAGCAGUCACGUGAGCACUUACCAAACGACACUAACUCGUCAUUUUGAGCAUACACUCACCUUUACAGGCUAUGCUUCAAAAACCUGUUGGUCUAACUAACAAUCUUAAAAAUACAGCUUUUUGAAUUCACGGCAAAUCGUUUUACUUUUAAUAAAUCCGAUGCUGAUUUACGUGUCUAAACUAAAAGCAUGAUGAAGUAAAAGGUUAACCCCACAAAAUUUAAAUUAUUAGCUCCUUAUUCAUUCCAAGCUUGAAAGCACAUCCUA